GUUUACCAAGCCUGCUGGAGCCUCUGAAGGGCAGCAGCCAGCUCACCCCCCAUGCCCUGGAUGGCAACAAGGCACAGGAGACCGCAGAGCAUACAAACAGGGCAAGAGGAAACCAUCUAUCAAUGACCAGGGACCAGAGGAAGCAAAGUUCUAACAUCUCGCUCACGUUCUCCCAAGGCCCAGAGCACUCCUCUUCUUGGUGGAUACCAAUGCACUUUGAGAAGAAGCAGGAAUGCAUGUAUUUCUAAACAAUGAACUUUGGAGAAAUUAACAGGCAAAGGAUCAAGUACUACUAAUAUAAAAAUGAAAAGAUGAUACCAGGCAAAGUAAAACCUGGGUUGUGGUGACAGCAGCACUCGUGUCUGACGUCUGAUGCAGACCCUUCCAUGAAGUGGCCUUGAAAAAUGACACCCCACAUUCCUGGAGCGGUACUGGAGCCACCAGAGUGAGCAGAAUGAAGCUGUUUUUAAAGCCUCAUUCCCAAAGAUUUGUCCUUUCGGAACUGUCUCGUCAGACCUGUCUGGUAAUACUCUGGAAGACUCCACAUGCAAGAUUGUCUGUAUUUGACCUGACUUGGAGAUUUACUGGUUUCUGGUAUUUACAGAAAUCUCUGUCCUAUCCUUACUCAACAACCAAGCU
ensembl:lncRNA LINC02251 long intergenic non-protein coding RNA 2251